rnacentral:lncRNA from 11 species
AGAGGAAGAGAAUUUCCAAAUGGACAUCAGAUGUACAUGAAGAUGUACAGAAUUGUAAUUUCUCAUGAGGUCUAUCAGAAAUUGAUAUUUCCUUUCACGGAUCGAUAGUCGUCAACGAUAUUUUCGGUCGUUUCGUUCGUCAGCUCUCGUUCCAAGGAUUGGUCGAGCACCAAUCGAAAUUAUCCAACGACGUCGUCUCAUCUUUGUGAACCCACUCUAACGAUCCGUGGAACGGGACGCAGAGGGCGAACGAGUCGACCUGUUCGUGUAUAUUCUUUGUCGUGUGCCUGACGUCGCGUUUUCGUCUUAAAUUCAUUCGUUGUGCUGCCGAGUCUUGUCACGUAAAGGCCCGACAAUCGUGAGAAAGGUGAAAAGCCGUCGUGGAAUGUGGCAGACGUCUCGAAAAAUUUUUCGCCUGUUUCCUAACCUCUCUCUCUCUUCUUUUCGGACCGAGCAUUCCAAUUCGAACGACAACGAAACGAGCUUUGUUGGGUCACGCGACACUCGAUAUACAUUCGAUUAGAUUUUUUUAAAGAAGUCCAAGUCUAAAUUUGUAUAGACCUUGUGAGUUAAGGGAUUUGCCGAUUGAUUUUUGCGGAGAACGAAGAGGAAGAGGGAUACGAAGAGGAAGAGAAAAGGGAUAGGCUCGGGAAAACGCAGCAACAGAAUUUUUGAAUAUUUAUCUUGUGUGAUUCGAUCAAAAUUUCCACGUACUCUAAUCGCAAGGUGAAAGUUCCGCUAACGAGACCAAAGACAAAUUGUACAAACAUAUAUAUAUCAUACGUCAAUAAAGUUGUAGUUAAAAAUUCUCGUUCGUAUCAGUGAUUAAAUUUUUUAAAAAAUUAUAUUUUUAAUCAAAUGUGAUUAGUGAAACCGAUUAUUAUUACGAAGAAGAAGUAGAAUACCAAGUGGCCAAUAGCAAAUGGGAUUCGAUAAGCAACUCAAUUUCGAUUGAUAAUCCUGGCUUGGAUGGAUUUUCUCCCAUCGGGGCGCCCUAGCACGGACAACAACCCGGCGACGUGGAUUUAAAUGGCGUCUUUAAGAAUCGUCUCUUAAACAGCAAUUUAGUGGACAAAUCAUGGGGGAAUGUUGAUGGAGAGAGAUGCUCGACGAAUAGGUCAAGCGGGAUGUGACCGUCCCCUUCACGAUAACAAACCAGAUACAUUAAACAUACUCUCCAAUCAACGAUGACUCGACAACCAAUUUUAUUAUUCACAAGAUUUAUAAUUAUCUUCCAACUCUCUUACAACAAACGAAAUAAAUAAAAGAGUUAAAGAGAAUUCAUGUAUCUUCCUUUAUACAAAUGAU